rnacentral:rRNA from 1 species
UGGGGAAUUUUCCACAAUGGGCGAAAGCCUGAUGGAGCAAUACCGCGUGGGUGAAGAAGGAUCGUGGUCUGUAAAGCCCUUUUCUUAAGGAAGAACAAAUGACGGUACUUAAGGAAUAAGCACCGGCUAACUCUGUGCCAGCAGCCGCGGUAAUACAGGGGGUGCAAGCGUUGUCCGGAAUGAUUGGGCGUAAAGCAUCUGUAGGUGGUUCGUAAAGUCAACUGUUAAAUCCCAGAGCUCAACUUUGGACAAGCAGUUGAGUACUUACGGACUCGAGUAUAGUAGGGGCAGAGGGAAUUCCUAGUGGAGCGGUGAAAUGCACAGAGAUUAGGAAGAACACCAGUGGCGAAAGCGCUCUGCUGGGCUAUGACUGACACUGAGAGAUGAAAGUUAGGGGAGCGAAAAGGAUUAGAUACCCUUGUAGUCCUAACCGUAAACGAUGGAUACUAGAUGCUGUCAAAAAC